UGUUCAAAGCGACUCCGAAUCGGGUGGCCUAAGGUACAAUGGUUACGGCUGCCCGAUCGGCAGGGUGCGCUCGGAAAACUGGCGUGCCUUCCGGGUUCGGAAAGGAGUCCGAAGUUGACACAC
rnacentral:ncRNA from 2 species